rnacentral:rRNA from 1 species
GACGAACGCUGGCGGCGUGCUUAACACAUGCAAGUCGAGCGGUAAGGCCCUUUCGGGGUACACGAGCGGCGAACGGGUGAGUAACACGUGGGUGACCUGCCCUCAGCUCUGGGAGUAAGCCCGGGAACUAGGGUCGUAAUACCGGAUAUGACUUCAUGACGCAUGUUGUGGAGUGGAAAGCCUUGUGCGGCUGAGAAUGGGCCCGCGGCCUAUCAGGCUUGUUGGUGGGGUGAUGGCCUACCAAGGCGGACGACGGGUAGCCGGCC